GACGAACGCUGGCGGCGUGCUUAACACAUGCAAGUCGAACGGUGAUGCUCCAGCUUGCUGGUGUGGAUCAGUGGCGAACGGGUGAGUAACACGUGAGCAACCUGCCCCAGACUCUGGAAUAAGCGCUGGAAACGGCGUCUAAUACUGGAUACGAAACUGGCCCGCAUGGGCAUGGUUUGGAAAGUUGUUCGGUUUGGGAUGGGCUCGCGGCCUAUCAGCUUGUUGGUGAGGUAAUGGCUCACCAAGGCGACGACGGGUAGCCGGCCUGAGAGGGCGACCGGCCACACUGGGACUGAGACACGGCCCAGACGCCUACGGGAGGCAGCAGUGGGGAAUAUUGCACAAUGGGCGAGAGCCUGAUGCAGCGACGCCGCGUGAGGGAUGACGGCCUGCGGGUUGUAAACCUCUUUCAGCAGGGAAGAAGCGAAAGUGACGGUACCUGCAGAAGAAGCACCGGCUAACUACGUG
rnacentral:rRNA from 1 species